rnacentral:rRNA from 1 species
UACGCGUUGGCUCAACGGCUUCAGGUGCUGCCGGCUUCCAUGACGUGACGGGCGGUGUGUACAAGGCCCGGGAACGUAUUCACCGCAGUGUGCUGACCUGCGGUUACUAGCGACUCCGCCUUCAUGCAGGCGAGUUGCAGCCUGCAAUCUGAACUGGGGCCGGCUUUGAGGGAUUAGCUCCGGCUCGCGCCUUGGCAGCCCAUUGUACCGGCCAUUGUAGCGUGUGUGUAGCCCAGGACGUAAGGGCCAUGCUGACUUGACGUCAUCCCCACCUUCCUCUGGGUUUAUCCCAGCGGUCCCGUCAGAAAAAUAUAACUGACGGCGAGGGUUGCGCUCGUUGCGGGACUUAACCCAACACCUCACGGCACGAGCUGACGACAGCCAUGCAGCACCUGUGCUGGCUCCCCGAAGGGUCCUUCACCUUUCGGAUCCGUACCACCAGCAUGUCAAGCCCUGGUAAGGUUCUUCGCGU